ensembl:snRNA
ACCAUCCUUUUCUUGGGGUUACACUGCUGUCCAAUGAGCGCAUAGUGAGGGCAGUACUGCUAACGCCUAAACACACUUGCAUCGACUAAAGCUCUGCUUUAUGUUGGUGCAGUUUUCGGAAAA